rnacentral:rRNA from 1 species
AUUGAACGCUGGCGGCAGGCUUAACACUUGCAAGUCGAGCGGAGCGAGGGUGCUUGCACCUUAGCUUAGCGGCGGACGGGUGAGUAAUGCUUAGGAAUCUGCCUAUUAGUGGGGGACAACAUUCCGAAAGGAAUGCUAAUACCGCAUACGCCCUACGGGGGAAAGCAGGGGAUCUUCGGACCUUGCGCUAAUAGAUGAGCCUAAGUCGGAUUAGCUAGUUGGUGGGGUAAAGGCCUACCAAGGCGACGAUCUGUAGCGGGUCUGAGAGGAUGAGCCGCCACUCUGGGACUGAGACACGGCCCAGACUCCUACGGGAGGCAGCAGUGGGGAAUAUUGGACAAUGGGCGGAAGCCUGAUCCAGCCAUGCCGCGUGUGUGAAGAAGGCCUUUUGGUUGUAAAGCACUUUAAGCGAGGAGGAGGCUACUUAGAUUAAUACUCUGGGAUAGUGGACGUUACUCGCAGAAUAAGCACCGGCUAACUCUGUGCCAGCAGCCGCAGUAA